CUGAAACGAUCUGAAAUCAUACCCGACAUCUGUAAUGUGAUUUUUCAGAGUGCUCUGCAUGUGCGAGUGUUUCCACCAACCUUUAACGGGCUGCUUGACUUCUCCGUUCUCCCUCUUGAUCUCAUUCAUCACUUUGUGCUUCUUCUUCUCCUCCUUGUCUCGCUCCCAUUCUUUGACCUUCUUCUUCUCCCGCUCCUUCGUCUUGUCCUUGGUGGAGUGCUCUUAACCUGGCGAUACGACAUCCCCGUUCUCCCUCUUCACCGCAGAAAUGUUGUUGAAUCUGCUGAUGUCGUUGUUCACGUU